CUUUAAGUGCAGGUGGUGGGUGUGUGUGAGCGAGGGUGUGGGGUGGGGAUUCCAAGGCUGUGCUCUUCUGUAACCUAAUGUCCCCACAGGAGGACAUGCACAGUCAGUCCUGUCCCCUUUUGCAUUAUCAGUGACCACACAUCACAACUUAGUAGCCACGGCUGUUGAACAAUGGGGCAAAUUUUUCAGUCCCUAAAAUGUGUUGAAGGGUACAUCUGUGUCCAUAAAUCUCUAUUUUUUUUAGGACUGAUCCCUAUAAAUGGAAUUUCUAGUACACAAUAUGUCUUCAUUUUUAAGGUGUUGGCUGCAGUUUCCAAUACCUGUGUGGCCUCUUGGUCAAGUUUAAGUUUUGUUUGGGAAAGCAGGGACUCCAGAGACACUGGAGUGACACGUGAAGGCUUUCAGGAGGGUGGAAAUGUCAGCAGUGGAGGCCACGGUGUAGUGACUCAUGCAGCAAGGAAGGCCCCUGCAGACCCCACUAGAUACCCCUUCCACAACACCCGCUGCUCCAUGCUCUGGACCAUAUUUCACCCAGCCCCUUCUAUGACACACCUGAGGCCCCACUCAGGGGCCACCCCAGCCCCUCCUGCUCCAUAACUCAGCUUCUGGGCAAAGCUAGACCCUGCCAUCCAGGACAGAGGAAGGUACAGGCCAGGCCACUCCUGUCUGCCAUCUUCCCCCAUGCCAGAGUCCCUUUCUCUCCACAGGAAAGCUCCUCUAAGGGCACGUCAGCAUGUUGUAGGCAUGACCUUGAAUGUGUUCAAUCCAGGUGAAGUUCUCAGUUGCAACAGCAGGACCCACUUGAGCUUGUGUGAGCAGAAGAGGCCUUUAUAAAGCACGUCAAGGGCUCUUGGAAGCUGCGUGAAGAAAUACUUAGCAUUACUUGAGGACGAGUUGAAGAAGAUUCAGGUGAGAACACGUUGCUGGUGAAGCAGACUCAGUGCUGCAAGGAGAGCUGAAAACACUCCGCGUCCAUCAUCCAGGGCCUGUUCUGUGACACCCUCCGACCGCACCUCAAAUAAAGACUCGUCUUGUGUGGGCUCUAGCU
rnacentral:lncRNA from 1 species